rnacentral:rRNA from 1 species
ACUCCUACGGGAGGCAGCAGUGGGGAAUAUUGGACAAUGGGGAACCGUAGCAUCCAGCCAUGCCGCGUGUGUGAAGAAGGCCUUCGGGUUGUAAAGCACUUUCAGUGGGGAGGAAAGGUUGAUGGUUAAUACCUAUCAGCUGUGACGUUACCCACAGAAGAAGCACCGGCUAACUCCGUGCCAGCAGCCGCGGUAAUACGGAGGGUGCGAGCGUUAAUCGGAAUUACUGGGCGUAAAGCGCAUGCAGGCGGCCUGUUAAGUCAGAUGUGAAAGCCCGGGGCUUAACCUCGGAAUUGCAUUUGAAACUGGCAGGCUAGAGUCUUGUAGAGGGGGUAGGAAUUUCAUGGUGUAGCGGUGAAAGUGCAGUAGAGAUC